rnacentral:rRNA from 1 species
GACGAACGCUGGCGGCGUGCUUAACACAUGCAAGUCGAACGGAAAGGCCCUGCUUUUGUGGUGUGCUCGAGUGGCGAACGUGUGAGUAACACGUGAGUAACCUGCCCUUUACUUUGUGAUAUCUUCAGGUAACUUGUGCUAAUACCUGAUAGGAUCUCCUGCUGCAUGGUUGUGGUUGGAACGUUUCGGCGGUUGGGGAUGGACUCGCGGCUUAUCAGCUUGUUGGUGGGGUAGUGGCUUACCAAUGCUUUGACGGGUAGCCGGCAUGAGAGGGUGACCGGCGAAAUUGGGACGGAGAGACGGAGCAGACUGCAACGGGAGGCAGCAGUGGGGAAUAUUGCAAAAUGGGCGGAAGCCUGAUGAAGCAACGCGGCGUGCGGGAUGACGGCCUUCGGGUUGUAAACCGAUUUAGCAUGUGACGAAGCGUGAGUGACGGUAAUGGGUAAAGAAGCACCGGCUAACUACGUG